AAUAUCCUAAACCCUCUAUUUUUCUUUAAACUUGAAUAAAAAUCUAUCUACAACUCUAUCAUCCCAAAUCUCCGCUAUCUUAGUACUGCAAAGGAAAUUAUAAAUUAUUAAUAAGUAAAAAUAAAACCUUAUACCUCGUGCAUUAUGGCUUAGCAAGCCAACUCUAAUUCUAGCCUAUCCCGAAAUCUUCACGAGCUGAUAAACAUUUGUAUAAGAACUCACUACCGCAUGUUUCAAAAUGCCUAGAAAAAUUUUAUCAGAAGCUACAUACCUACCGCGCAAGACUAUAGCUGGUUCCCUAAAAGCUUCACAUUAGUGAAACAAGAUAUAUUCUCUGAUAAAUAAUAAAGGAAAAGCUCUAUUAUAAAAGCUAAUUUCGAAUCCUACCCCCUAAAGUAAGCUUAGAAACUGCUAACUUUUAAAUAACGUUAUAGUAUAAAAACUCUUUUUACAAAAUCAUAAACAAAUUGCUACAACCUAUUAGGGAUUAUUUAUCAACUUUCCUAAAUAAAAAUUCUGCUAAGAUUAGUAUUCAUUCCCUCCUACAACACCUAUAAAACCCCCUUUCCCCCAAAAAUGAAAUUCCUUAUUAUAAGGAACUCGGCAAAUACAAGCUCCGACUGUUUAACAAAAACAUUGCCUCUUGAUUUAUAAAUAAGAGGUUCAUCCUGCCCAAUGACUUUAGUUCAAUGGCCGCGGUACCCUGACCGUGCAAAGGUAGCAUAAUCACUUGCCCCUUAAUUAGGGGCUGGCAUGAAUGGACACACGAAAGCUUAACUGUCUCAUAAUAACUAAUAAAAAUUAAUCUUUAAGUGAAAAAGCUUAAAUUCCAUUGCAGGACAAGAAGACCCCGUUGAGCUUUAUUCUCUAUAGACCACCACUAAUAUUUACUAUAUCAUAAACCUAAAAAAGAAUUUAGUUGGGGUGACUAAGGAACAUCAAAAUCUUCCUUUUAUUAACCAGGGCUAUUACCCAAAACAAUUGACCCAUAACCAUGAACAAAAAAAUAAGCUACCACAGGGAUAACAGGCUAAUCUUUCUCAAGAGCCCAAAUUGUCAGAAAGGAUUGGCACCUCGAUGUUGGCUUAGGGGCCCCUAAUAGUGCAGAAGCUAUUAAUGGUAGGUUUGUUCAACCUUUAAAACCCUACAUGAGCUGAGUUCAGACCGGCGUAAGCCAGGUUAGUUUCUAUCCUCAAUAUAAAUCUUUACAUAAUAGUACGAAAGGACCUUACUGUAAUAAAAACUUUAACCUCUAUGAAAUCAACUAAACCCUUUUAACAAAAAUUCUCUAGAAAAAAUAU
rnacentral:rRNA from 1 species